AACGAACGCUGGCGGCAUGCUUAACACAUGCAAGUCGAACGCUCGUUGGGCUUCGGUCUGGCGAGAGUGGCGCACGGGUGAGUAUCGCGUGGGAACCUGCCCUCUUGUGGGGAGUAACCGACUGGAAACGGUACGGCGUAAUAACCGCCAUAAGACCCGGUCGGCGAACAAUCGGGGAAAGGAAUUUAUUCGCGAGAGGAGGGGCCGGCGU
rnacentral:rRNA from 1 species